CUACUACAAUUCCGGACUCGGUGACAAGUCCUAAGAGGCGCCUUUACUAACAAGAGCGCUAAGUGCGGCCGCUGCGGCAUGCUGGGUACACUGGAGGCGGUGUAUUAGGAUAUUCUUUGUACAGCCCCUGUUUCCCUAAUAUGCGCCACUGAACGCCCGAAGUCGGAGCAGGCGGCGGGAGGCCUGGGGCGGCGUGGAAGGGGGUUAUGAUACUGUUGGGUGAGCCUGUAUUUAAUAUACUGGUGAUGGGAAAUGGCUCAAAAAGGAGGUAUUCGUACAUAUAGGAGAGUAUAUUCAUACAUCUGGAGCUGACAAUGGGGGACUAUCAUGCGCAUUCCCGUGUGUCGUCCGUUGUCACGUGUUGUGUAUGCCACAUAUACGAGUCACAGGACGAGCAACUUGGACAGGCGGUUGCCAAGCACAAGGACACAUGGACGAGCAGGGCAGGGCACGCAAGCAGGCAGCAGCAGUUUGUCCAGCCGUACACAGCAAUGAAACGUCCCCUUAGGAACACCAUGCGAGCUGCCUCCAAACAGAGAGCCGUACAUAUGUACUGCCGUACAUAUGUACUGCAACCCAAAAGCCAGUCCUGGAGCACAGCCCAAGUAAGACCCUCACCUUUAAUGCAGGCGAGCCGGUGGCUAGUCGCGGUGAGGUUUGCAGCCUGGGCGACGGAGGGGGCUUCGUCAUCCUGGGCCGGCCUGGGCUGGGGCUUGGACUCGGAGGCUUAGGGCUGAGUGGCGGGGGGCUUGGAGGCGUGGGUGACGAGGGCAGAUGGGGCAGUGGGGGCGUUUGCGGCGGUAGUGGUUGAGAAGGAGAUUCAAAUACGGCCACAUCCCUUCCCGCAAAGCCAGCAGAGCUGGAGAGCUGGUCCUGGUCGAGCGGCAUUUGAGGCAUGUCU
rnacentral:lncRNA from 1 species